rnacentral:rRNA from 1 species
GUGAACGCUGGCGGUAGGCCUAACACAUGCAAGUCGAACGGCAGCACAGUAAGAGCUUGCUCUUACGGGUGGCGAGUGGCGGACGGGUGAGGAAUACAUCGGAAUCUACUUUUUCGUGGGGGAUAACGUAGGGAAACUUACGCUAAUACCGCAUACGACCUACGGGUGAAAGCAGGGGAUCUUCGGACCUUGCGCGAUUGAAUGAGCCGAUGUCGGAUUAGCUAGGUGGCGGGGUAAAGGCCCACCAAGGCGACGAUCCGUAGCUGGUCUGAGAGGAUGAUCAGCCACACUGGAACUGAGACACGGUCCAGACUCCUACGGGAGGCAGCAGUGGGGAAUAUUGGACAAUGGGCGCAAGCCUGAUCCAGCCAUACCGCGUGGGUGAAGAAGGCCUUCGGGUUGUAAAGCCCUUUUGUUGGGAAAGAAAAGCAGCAGGUUAAUACCCCGCUGUUCUGACGGUACCCAAAGAAUAAGCACCGGCUAACUUCG